GGAAUAUUGGACAAUGGGUGAGAGCCUGAUCCAGCCAUCCCGCGUGAAGGAUGACGGUCCUAUGGAUUGUAAACUUCUUUUGUAUAGGAAUAAACCUUUCUACGUGUAGAAAGCUGAAGGUACUAUGCGAAUAAGCACCGGCUAACUCCGUGCCAGCAGCCGCGGUAAUACGGAGGGUGCAAGCGUUAUCCGGAUUUAUUGGGUUUAAAGGGUCCGUAGGCGGACCGAUAAGUCAGUGGUGAAAUCUCAUAGCUUAACUAUGAAACUGCCAUUGAUACUGUCGGUCUUGAGUAAAUUAGAGGUAGCUGGAAUAAGUAGUGUAGCGGUGAAAUGCAUAGAUAUUACUUAGAACACCAAUUGCGAAGGCAGGUUACCAUGAUUUAACUGACGCUGAGGGACGAAAGCGUGGGUAGCGAACAGGAUUAGAUACCCUUG
rnacentral:rRNA from 1 species